CUGCCCUUCGAUAACGAACGAGACCUUAACCUGCUAAAUAGCCCGUACUGCUCUGGCAGUUCGCUGGCUUCUUAGAGGGACUAUCGGCUCAAGCCGAUGGAAGUUUGAGGCAAUAACAGGUCUGUGAUGCCCUUAGAUGUCCUGGGCCGCACGCGCGUUACACUGACAGGGCCAGCGAGUACCUCCUUGGCCGAAAGGCCCGGGUAAUCUUGUUAAACCCUGUCGUGCUGGGGAUAGAGCAUUGCAAUUAUUGCUCUUCAACGAGGAAUCCCUAGUAAGCGCAAGUCAUCAGCUUGCGUUGACUACGUCCCUGCCCUUUGUACACACCGCCCGUCGCUACUACCGA
rnacentral:rRNA from 1 species